GACGAACGCUGGCGGCGUGCUUAACACAUGCAAGUCGAACGGAAAGGCCCUGCUUUUGUGGGGUGCUCGAGUGGCGAACGGGUGAGUAACACGUGAGUAACCUGCCCUUGACUUUGGGAUAACUUCAGGAAACUGGGGCUAAUACCGGAUAGGAUCUCCUGCUGCAUGGUGGGGGUUGGAAAGUUUCGGCGGUUGGGGAUGGACUCGCGGCUUAUCAGCUUGUUGGUGGGGUAGUGGCUUACCAAGGCUUUGACGGGUAGCCGGCCUGAGAGGGGUACCGGCCACAUUGGGACUGAGAGAGGGACCAGUCUCGUACGGGAGGCAGAGGUGGGGAAUAUUGCACAACGGGCGGAAGUGUGAGGCAGCAACGCCGCGUGCGGGAUGACGGCCUUCGGGUUGUAAACAGCUUUGGCCUGUGACGAAGCGUGAGUGACGGUAAUGGGUAAAGAAGCACCGGCUAACUACGUG
rnacentral:rRNA from 1 species